rnacentral:rRNA from 1 species
GCAACAGCUCAAAUUUGAAAUCUGGCGCAAGCCCGAGUUGUAAUUUGUAGAGGAUGCUUCUGGGCAGCGGCCGUUCUAAGUUCCUUGGAACAGGACGUCAUAGAGGGUGAGAAUCCCGUAUGUGACCGGCGCGCACCCUCCACGUAGCUCCUUCGACGAGUCGAGUUGUUUGGGAAUGCAGCUCUAAAUGGGAGGUAAAUUCCUUCUAAAGCUAAAUACCGGCCAGAGACCGAUAGCGCACAAGUAGAGUGAUCGAAAGAUGAAAAGCACUUUGGAAAGAGAGUUAAAAAGCACGUGAAAUUGUUGAAAGGGAAGCGCUUGCAACCAGACUUCGCGGCGGUGUUCCGCCGGUCUUCUGACCGGUUCAUUCGCCGCCGUGAGGCCAGCAUCGUCUGGGGCCGCCGGAUAAGACCUUAGGAAUGUGGCUCCCUCGGGAGUGUUAUAGCCUAGGGUGAUGCGGCGAGCCCCGGGCGAGGUCCGCGCUUCGGCAAGGAUGCUGGCGUAAUGGUUGUCAGCGGCCCGUCUUGAAACACGGACCAAGGAGUCUAACAUCUAUGCGAGUGUUCGGGUGUCAAACCCCUACGCGUAAUGAAAGUGAACGGAGGUGGGAGCUUCGGCGCACCAUCGACCGAUCCUGAUGUCCUCGGAUGGAUUUGAGUAAGAGCAUAGCUGUUGGGACCCGAAAGAUGGUGAACUAUGCCUGAAUAGGGUGAAGCCAGAGGAAACUCUGGUGGAGGCUCGCAGCGGUUCUGACGUGCAAAUCGAUCGUCAAAUUUGGGUAUAGGGGCGAAAAGACUAAUCGAACCA